GAGAGGGAGAGGGAGAGGGAGAGGGAGAGGGAGAGGGGAAGAAAAAAAUACAAUUGUAAAUCACAUAAAUGUAGUUUUGAAUAUUUGAAUGAAAAUAAUGUACUUGUGCACAUAAAGUAUAGAUCCUAGUCUGCUUGGCUGGGUACUCAUUUUCUACUACCAGUUUUUAUUUUGUAAAAAAUCUUGUCUUGUGUAUAGCAGAAGUGCAGAAGAAAUGCAGGAAAAGGCAAACAAAUUCCUGUGAAUAGUAUAUCCAGCCUGUCCUAGAUACUAGGGGUAUAUAUACAGCUUCACCAUAAUAGAAAGAUAAGUGUUUGUAAUACGAUGAAUAAUUAUGAGUAUAAUAGUAUAACAAUAGCACAACUCAUAUACAGAACAGCUUCUUUUUAAACCCAGGUAAUUAGUACAUGAUAUAUAAAGCAUAAGGGAGCAUGAAGGUUUGAAUUCACCAGGCAUUUUAAACUGGCUCCUGGUUUAUUUCUUUUUAUUCUUACAAUAGCAUUUUCAAUCCCAUUGUACUCUGCUUCAAAGCCAGAUUAGUGCUGCUGUAUAUAAGCACAUUCCUUUCACCACUUUUGAAUAUGGGGUCAGCCAAUUUUGUUGAGGGCAAGGCUCUGAGGAAGGAUGAGCAGGAGUGCUCAGAUGACCUUCUCUGUACAUUCAUACAUUCUCUAGAGCAUGUCACUUCUUGUCUCAGUACCACUUCUUGUCUGCAGUAUCGUCUUCCACUGUAGCGUGAGAGAAUACAGAUACCAGGACUGUUGUCCAUUAUCAUUAUUCCAAAAAUGGAAAUUCACAGUUUGCACCUGUGCUUGAACACCUGCAGGAUUUAGGGUGAUCUGACAUUUUUCAACUCCCUACUGUGAUUUAUUUUCGUGUUCACGGUCAAGUGAGUGUGUAUGCUUAUGCUUGUGCGUGUGCAUGGACAUGUCUGUCCAUGACGGUGGGACAGCUAAUGGACUGCUGUUUGGGAAUGACUGCUGAGGCUGAGCUUGUACAGCCAUCCUAGCUGAAGAUAACAUUUAGUUUUCAUACUGCCUGCAUGCCCCAAAUGAAUUUUCAAUGUGUCAGGCUUGAUUUCUGUCUUUCUCUCUGCCCUUUUCCUACUCUUUGGUGCAUGUAGCUGAUAUCAAGAAAUAGAUUUUUCUUCCAUUUGAAUUUCCCCAGUUUCUUAAGUCCUAUUUGCCUGGAGGCAGAAUAACAGCAUGGAUUCCUGCCUUUUCCACUUUGCUCUUAGAUGUAGUGCUCAGGACAACACUGUAUGUUAAGCACUUAAGCAUGACCAGAAGUACUCCCCACUAUGACUAGCUCUUCUCUUCAUCUUAUUUUCCUUUAAUAUUUUUAUAAAAACUUUAUUGCUGUUUCUUAUAGCCCAUUUAGUACUUGUGGCUUUGUCUCCUGAGCUUAGGUCAUCUUGCUUAUCAAGAGCACAGUGGGAAGCCAUGCUGCAGAGCAUUUGCCAACUCAACUAUAUUGAUUGAAGGUAUGAAGAGUUCACUCCAUCAAACUGACAUCAUACUGGUUCCAAAGCUCCCUUGAACUUCUGCUUGUUUGUUUCCUUAGUUUAUGUCAGAGACAUAAAAUAACAGGAAAGCUGCUUCUGGCUUUGGAUCAGUCCUGAGGAUGUAGCCUGGUUUCUUCCGAUGCAAUUGUGGUUUCAGAGCCUUCACCACUGAAACUCUGUCAUAUGGGCAGAGCGUUCAAAUAAAAUCCAGAAACAGGGCAGAUUCUCUUAUGGCAAAGCUAGCCAACAAAUUCAAAACUGCAGCUUGAACUCAUUUCCCCUUCCUCCACCCAAAUGGCAGCUGCUUGAUCUUGAAUUUUGUUUCUUUUGCAUUUAGUUUCUUUUUUUAUCCUCAAGCCCCUCUACUGGCUAAAGAUCCCGCUUUUUAUGUGACCAGAGUGCACUAACCAUGGCAUAAACAACUAGUUCAGUGCCUAUUUUGGAUCAAUGUCCAAAAAGGGUCUGUCAGAAGGAGAGAUCUCAGAGGGACACAGCAGAGGGAUUGGCCUGCUUUAAAUAUGUGGUUAUGUCAACUGCUUUGUUUUGUGGACAAGACUGGAGAGAAAACUGCUCUCCUUUUCCAAAACCAGUCACUGAAACUCCCUUUUAGCCUAUUAGUUAAACAUUUGCCCAGAAAGUGAGAGAACCAGCCCUUCUGAGGAUGCCAUGUAACCUACAUUGUUGUAGAAAGACAUGCUUAUUACUGUGCUACAAGUCAUUUGCAUUAAUGAAGGACACUUUCUACCUUCCCUCUUAAUGUUGUGUCUCAGAGCAAAAAAGGCAUCAAGAUUCAUUGGGCUUAACAGAGAAAACUUCCACAAGGGAGCAUGGUAGACGGGCCAUUUCCUUCCUUUAAUUAUUUUGUCAAAGGCAUCAUGGACAUCAUGGAGGAAGGAUGUUGCAGAACAUCUUCCCAAGCAAAGGAAGUGGGUGAUGCCUUUGAGCAGGGGAUAGUUUUAAGUGAACCCUUCCUCUAAAUAUAGCACAGCCCCACAGCAGUUCUCAGAGCCCUGUAUUAAACAUUAUGUAAAAUCUUGGUUCCCUCUGUAGUGACAUAACUACAAGGAAACUGAGGGGGCAACCAUGUCAGAGCUAUGAGCAUUUCAAAAAUUUUAAAACAGCGUGCUCCAAGGAGCCUGCAGAAAUUCUUGCCCUUGGAUUCAGCUGAUGUUGCCAUGUCAGCAUGAAUCACUUGAGGGAGGAGGGAAUAGCAAUGCUAUUCUAUUUCUAAACACUCUCCUUUAUAUUAAGUUGGUUUAGGCAGCAUAGUUUCAUUUCAAUCUAUGCAGUGUUAUGCUGUUGACAUGUUAGUUUCACUAUUUGCUUAAAAAUAGAGAAUAUGAAACAGGGAAUAUAAACUGCAGUGAGGGUGACAGAUGGAAUUUUUCUUCUUAUGUAAAAAAUGCAAAGUAAUGAAUAUGUAUACAAUUGCUUUUUUACUCCAUAGCAAAACAAUGAAGAGUUCUUUGUGCCUCUGUCAUGGCCCCUGUAAUGCUACAAGCUUGUGGAUAUUCUCAUAUAAAUUAAAUGACAGAGAAAAAUCUUAUUUCUUCUCAUUACGAAACAGGAAAGAACAUGCUCCUUCUUGCCAAAAUUGGCAAAAAAAAAAAAAAAACAACAUCCCAUCUAUGUUUAAUUAAAAAUAUCAAAAGUAUUUUUGUAGGGAAAAAAAAAAAAAAAAAGAGUGCCAUAAUAAAAACAAGUAGCCUAGGAAGGAAACGCAGCGUAUGUUGAGUCAAUGAUCUUUUCUACCCUCAGUUAGUCCUUCUACAGCAGUGAUAGUCCAGAUAGCUGAAGAACUUGUGUUAAGCCUCUGACUGCAUCUCUUUAUAGCUGUUUUCUGUAUUCAUUUACAAAACCUGUGAAAGGAAAUGUAAAAAUCAUAUGUCUAGCUAGUCACAUGAACUAACCAUACAAUUCACAUUCUGCAAUAUUUGCUCCGGAAAUUGGGGUCUUAUUUUGUAAACAGCUGACAGAAAUAACAUGCAACAAAGUGUUUGGGCAAGUAGUUUGAGCAGUCAAAUACAGUGAAAAGUUUAUUAAAUAGAUCUUUGAUGAAAAUACGUGUUGUCAGAACAAAGCCUUCAAGACAGGGCAUAUCUUUGAAUACCCCUGAAGCACCACUGUACAUACCACCUAUUCAAAAUAAGAAGUAAAAUACGCAGAACUGAAUUUUCACUUGAGUCUAGUGAGACAAGCAUCAAUUUAUUUGUUACUUUUGGAUGAUUUGAAUGUGAGCAAUUAUAUUGUCCUUAUAAAAAUAUCUUCAAAAGGCUGCAAUUCCUAAACCAUUGAUACAAACAAAAUUCAGUAGCUGACUAAACAUUCUCUGAAAUAUCUAAGCCUGGCUCAGGAGUGCUGUUGGAAAAUCUGAACUCAUAAUGCUUUCUUCUCCCUGUGUCUACCUUGCACUGCCUGUGAACCCACAAACCUGAUGCCCAAUAGGUUGCUUGAAAGCAUGUCAGAUUCUUAUCUAAUAUUUAAAUUAUGCGACUCUAACUAAACGUGGGAUAGUUUUCCUUACAGUUUCCACUCCCUGGCCCAUUGCUGUUUGUCAUUUUACUGUAUGUAUGCAUUUAUUUUAGAACCUUUUGUUCACCGUUUGUUAUGUCAUAAUCCCUAAGCAAAUACAUCCUUUGAUCAUGAUAAUACAGAGCUAUUGUUUUAAAAAUUUGUGCUGCUUAAUUUACAAAUCCAAGAUGAUUUAAUCUGCUAUCUUCUACAGCAAUGGACUUUGCCAAUCAUCAUUCUAAAUUUGAUUAGGAGGUAAGAGCUAAUAUGAACUCAUGCAGCUUUGCCAUCUAUCAUGCAGUAGCAGUGAGUGUCCUGUUUGGUAUGCAACAUAACUAAAUGUUGUCCUUGAGGAAUUUAUGUAUUGCUUAUUUGCAUUCUCCUGUUAUAAUAGGUAAAUUGCUGCACUCUGUAAGCUUGAUCUCCACAGUACUGUAUCAAAGACAUGCUUAUUUACUGUAUUUUCAAAUAGAAGAGGUACAUUUCAGAAGGUAAAGGCCUUGUAAAUAAGUUUGCUUUUACUCAAACAAAAUAGGUGGUAUUAAAAUACGUACUAGAGGGGCCAGAUCCUGGGAUGCUCUGCAGGUCAGGUGGCCCUGGAGAGCCAGCGCUGCGAAGCCCCUGCGCCUUGUCAGCGGCUGCAGGUUAUCCCGCAGGAGGACCAUGCUGGGGUGCUGCUGGGAGCCAUCCCCAGCCCUCAUAAAAGGAUGUCAAAAGGGCAAACAGCACCAGGAAGCAGCAGAACCCUCCUGCCCCCUGAGAAGGGUGAGACAGGAUCUGGGGUUGACAGCAGGGCUGACAGGGCAGCACCCGCACCUGCAGGGACACAGCAAGGAGCAAGAUACACUCAGAGCCCUGACAAACAGAGACACAGAGACUGCUGAGGCUACCGAAAAGCACAGUAGCUGCCCUGUAUUCUAAAGCAUGCCAGAAUAGUUCCCACAAUGUUUCCACAGGAAAGCAGUGUGGGCGCUGAAGAAGUAUCAGCCUCUCCUUAGCACCAUGCCUGGGUAAAGCUGUGAAGCAAAGGACAGCAUGAAUCUCUACCUGUACACAGAGCUAAAGAUGUCUAUGAUCAUUUCCAAGCCCACAUUUAAGUGUUAUUUUAAAAGCUUGUUGACUCUUGGAGACAUUUUGCUUUUAGAAAAUCAGAAGUUAAACAUACAUUGUUCUUUGUUGUUUCUCCAAGCACAAGCCAUAUGGCACUAACACAGUGUGCAAAUACCAUUUUCUUAAAACAGGGUUUUAAAGCAUUCUUUAUACUCUGUCAGCACUGAGGUCUAUACAUAUUUUGUUCACAGGCAGAUUUGUAGAUUUAUAUAAUUCACCCUAGUUUCAUACAAUGUUAAUUUUCUGAUUAAAAGCAGGAGAAAAAGAGCAAAGAAUUGUACAAUCAUUAGUUUACUGAAUGCUUUGAGAAAAAUAACUAUUAUAGGGAACUAUGUAGAAAUACUGAGAAAUGUUCAAAUCCACAGGAAAGAAAAAAUCAAACAAAAGACCUGGAAAGUGGCAAGAAAACUAAUAUGAACACAUUAAUCCAUGUUGUUUUAAAACUUCUUGUUCUCCAAGUGACCACAGAAAGAACAUAAAUGGCAAAGUUUGCGUACAUGAAGACCUUUCCUUUACACUGCUCAGUUCAAAAUCUUAUUUGCAAUUAUUAAGAAAGACUUUGGCCUUUUCACAAAGGUGCUGGCUGAGCAUUACCCUCUAUUACUGAAGAACAUGUAUAAAGUACUAUCAAAUGACAGCAACAACAUGAAAUUAAAGAACAUGAAAUUGAAGAACAACAGCCCUGCAUUUUUAACCUUAACUAUAAAUUUUCUUACUUCUUUGUACUUCUUGAUGAACAAGAUAGAGAUUCUUAAGAAGUUUAAAUCUUUUUAAAGCGCUCCUGGGAUAUUUAGGGUCAAUUUCUCUGAUAAUGUUUAUGUAAAUCAUUGAGCAGAUAUCCUGACGAGUACUUUCCAGAGGCUGUUACUGGAAGUUGGCUCCUGUCCCACCUGUGCCAAGCUGCUAUGACAAACAGUAUUAAAAACUGAGUGCUGAAGCAAUCUACAUGGACAUUUUAAUCUGCUGGACAUUCUCAGAAAAUAUUCAAAUCAAAAACCUUUGAGUAAUAAGGGGAACAAAAGAAGGAGUUUUUAGAACUAUACAAUUUUCUCCAAGUGAAAUAUAUGUCUUUGUCUUUUCUUGGUAAAGGGUUCACAAAUACUGAACAAAAACUAGAUAGAUAUAUCAAUGGUAAAAAAUAUUUUUUAAAAAAGUAUUAGUUAUUAUUUCUAUCUGGUUCGAAGAUGUGGAAAAGCCAUAGAUAAAGCUGUGUGCCAAAUUCCACAAAGAUAUAAUCAGAAGAUAUUUUUUCAUAUAUUUAGCAGGAAAGAACAGGAUUGUCACCACACUUUACACAGCCUGGGACAAGAGAAGAGUCCCUGUUUCAUUUACACAUUCACUGCUUGGUCUUGUUCAAACACGUUCUUCUAAGCCAGAAUAUCAGGAGCUAUUUGAUCCACAUCCCCUUCUGUGAACACACAGGACAUGAGUAGCACAAAGAGCUCUGCUCGUCUUCGUGGGUGCACUGGCUGUGAAGAUAAUGAGGCUGCUGCAUUGCAAGAGCUGAACAUGCUUAUUUCCUCCUCUGCUUCCUCAAACAAAAUAGAAGCAGAGGUGUAAUUCACUGUUAGUAAUUUAUUUUCUGGCUUUCCAGGCCAGUGCAGAUGUGCAGUGUUUUUCUUUUUCUUUUAGUGUGUUGUAAACUACAGUCUAUCCUUCUUCAAUAUUCAGGAAUGCCCAAAAUCAAAGCCCAUAUGGCACCUAUGUUAUCAGCUUUUUCUUCUGAAGUGAAGAUUGUUUAAAAUGCCUGCUUAUCCCCGACACCCAGAGAUGUGUUUAGUUGACCCAGACUUUCAAACAAGAUUGCAACAGUAAAAUAUGCUGAGUUUUAUAUGACAGAUGCCCAUCUUUUGGGCAGAAAUUCCCAGAAAAAUAAUAUGCACAGUCCAGACUUUGGACCUGCCAACUGAUGUUGUUCACUCAUCUUGUGUUUUCUCUAGAAGACAUCCAAUCCAGAGCUGCCAUCCUUCACAAGGGUGUGCUUCACUUUCACGCCACCCAUUUUCUAGGUAUGCUAAGCAGAGUCCUGAACCAAGGUCAAAGUCUAACAACAGUUUAUAUUGUAUGUCCUGUUUCACACCCCUGAAAUAUCACCUUGUUUUUAAAGUGAUGUGUUUACAGUGGAGACAGAGGAGAAUAUUCCUUCAAAAUGUUGAGAAAAUUUGUACUAAUGUUUUUGAGUUUAAGGCUGCAGACUUACCCUGAUUUGAAAUCUGAACAUUUACAUGUUGUGGUUUUUUUCACUUUUUUCUUCCUUAUUAUGUCAAUGCCCUCUUGCUAUCAACUUUGCACAAAAGUUAAAUUGCCUGGGGCCCUUAGACAGUGGCCAUACUUUCAACACAAAUUCCUCACUUUGGUCAUUUCUUCUUGUGAAUUGUUUUAGGUCCCAGUUCUGUGAGAACUAAGUAAAUAAUGAUAAUUACACUUAAAUCAAGAGCUUAAUGGGGAGUUACCAUCAACUUUUAUUUAAGCAGUAUCAAUCCCGCUACAAUAGGAUAGCUUUGCAGUUUUAUUUCAUGGACAAACUGCUUCAUGUAGCACACAUAGCUUCUGUAAGGCUUCUUAAAAUAAAAAAGGGAGAAGCCCACAAACUAAAUCUUACUUUUUGCCUCCCAAGAGUCAACUAGUAAGGUCUUAAGCCCAGAAUAGUUCAUUUUCUUUUCCAAGAAUGGUAUAUAUACACUAUGUACCACCAUCACAGUUGGCAACUGUAUCUUUCUAGUUCUCUAGGUAUCUAUUUUUUCAGGUAUAUAGGCAGCACUGAGAAACAGAUGGAGGCAUCAGUAUGAGCAAGGAAACGCCAGCUCAUACUGGGACUUGCACUGAUUCAUGACAAAUUUGGCAUUACUAAGGUUAUAAGAAACAGUGAUUUUUUUUUCUCCUGUCACAUGAAAUAAAGUAAUUGUUAAUUUCUUCUUUUGAAGAAAAAUAUUGUUAUGACAAAACUGUGUCUGUACACCAUUUUAAAGAAUAAUGAGAUUUAAUUUUAGAUCGGAAUGGUCAUUUUUUUCUAGCUGUUGUGUCCUACUUCAUGCAUAUUAAUUAAAGGAAAACCUAAACGUUUAUGUUAUAUCUGAGCUCAGAUUUGAUCAUCCUAAUGAUAAUUUCUGGUUUCAUAUCUGUAUACCUAUCCAUGCAGAUAGACACAGAAAAUUCAUAAAGGCUACUUCAGGUUGGAGGGCCUAUACUUCAUCUAGUUUUACAAAGCCUGAGGAUAAAUCUCUAACUUAUUAAAUGAACUGGGAACUCUAAUAUCAAAAAUAUAUAAAUAAUAUAUAAUAUAUAAAACUGUCAAGGUGAUUUGAUCAUUAAUGAUAUUUUUUCUAAAAUACAAGUACUAUCUGAAUGCAAUUCAUAGACAAUAUGCCAUAUGAAAAUACUAUCUGAAUGCAAUUCAUAGACAAUAUGCCAUAUGAAAAUGUAUAUCAACGCAAUUAAAAUCUAAUGAAUUACAACUCAGUUUCAUUAAAAUCUAAUUACUCAUCUAGAUUUAUGUAACUGGGACCUGAAAUUAAUUAUGGAGGUUUGUUUCUGUCAUGUAAUUGCUAUUUCAGUCACUACAGCAAUGCAGCCAGGACUUCGGGUUUUUUGCAAAAGAUUCAGCUGAUGACGGGUCCGUGAGAACUGUUGCAAUACCUUCCUUCUUUUUAUGAUGUUAUUUCGCAGGAAUGAUCUGUGUUUUUCAGUGUGGUUGAUGUGAUCUCAUUAGCCAUCAGAGCUCCUUCAUGCAUUAAUUUUUCCCUGAUUUCUCUUCUCCCCCCUUUCUUUAUGCCAUGUAUCUAUCCGUGAAUUCUUCUAAAGUUACGAAUAGACUUUUGGAAGUACUUUGGAAGUAGCAGCUCUUGUCGGAAUGCUUUCAGGGCUGCUGGGUACUGAAAACUUCUGAACUGUUCUAUCUGAAGCCAUCUGAAAGAUUAAUCAGAGGCUACAGUAGUUUCACACUCGAUCCAUUUCAAGGCCUGGCCAGUAGCAAUGGCACUCCAUCGCCAGGACCACAGAAACAGUACAUCUCCUGUUGCUAGGUGUUUGUAUUUAAUGUCUGUUGCACGUUUACGUAAAGUUUCUUCUUCUUCUUUUCACCUUUAAAUACCUGUCCGGGUUGGAUUAGUUGUUUCUUUAAUAUGAAGCGUAUUUUUUCCAAUGGCAUAGGGGUCCCUGGAAAAAAUCUGCUUAAUAUUAGGCAACUCUGCUUUGCAUUGUCUCUGCAUAAAUGGCAGAAAAGAUAAUGUUGACAAGCUGAGAUCCUUCUAGUUUCACAAGUUAGUCCAUAAUGCCUAUGUUAUCACAUGCAAGCACAGUAAAUUGGUGAAGGUAGGUAAAAUCCAUGUUUUGUUGUUUCUUCCACCUCCACAGCCAGUAACAUCCACAAACAGCCGCUCUCAUCAGCACUUAAAUACGCCCUAGCUGUUAUCCCUCCUCUCUCAGACUUGACAAGGCACUGAUAAGAAUAUAAUACACAACAUAGGAGGGACUUUGUUCCUCCAGUCCCUGUCUUGCAUUCCAUCUACUUGAGAAGUGUGGGAAGAGAGCUUGCCAGUGGAGACUGAGGAAAAGAAGUUGUUGAGUACAUCAACCUUCUCCUCGUCCAUUCUUACCAGUUUACCUGUCUUGCUCAUUGCGGGGACACGCUCCCUUUGACCUUUCCUUUCUGGUUGACAUAUCUUGUAGAAGCCCUUCUUAUUAUUCUUUGUAUUUCUUGCCAAGUUCAGCUCCAGCUGCACCUUGCCCUUCCUGACCCCAUCUCUGCACAACCAGGCAAUGUCCCUACACUCUUCCCAGGAUACCUGUCACUGCUUCUGCUGACUGUGCGUUUCCUUCUUGACCUUUAGUUUGACCAGCAGGUCUUGACUUAUCCAUGCCUGUCUCUUGUCAUCCUUUCCUGAUUUCUUAUACCUAGGGAUCAAGAGCUCUUGCACUCUAUGGAAAGUGUCCUAAAAGAUCUGCCAGCUUUGUUCUGCUCCCUUGUCCCUGAGGCCAGUAUUGUCAUUGCUAAAAUGAAAUAACAAUAUUUUGUGUCAUUCUCCUUGGAGAUCUCCAGAGGAGGAGCUACCAUAAAAAUGCUAAAAAUAGUAAUUGGUUUUUGCAAGUGGAUCCUCCAAAAAUAGUCCUUGAAUCAUACAGAUUACAUAGAUAUUUCACCCUUCAGGCACCUUGUCCUCUUGUAUAGUGUUAUGCAUCGUUUCAUUUCAUCACAUUCUGCUUUUCUAUAUGAUAUCCUCAUGCUAGAGGAGUGGAAUGGAAUAAAGUCCAGUGGUUAAAAAAUAGUUUCAUUCAAGUUUCAGCAAAGGAAGAGAGAGGAAUCUCAAAGUAUUAAGACUGCAGCAUUCCCAAUAAUGAUUUUGUGUAACAGAAAAAUUCUGCUUUCAGAUAACUUUUCUUCAUAGUUCAUUCCCAGUGUUGUGUUGAUUAUGCUUCCAGUCCCUUUAAGCUAUCUACAUUUUUAAUGCCCCUACAUUCUUGUCAGAAAGUUCAUGUCCAAAAAGCAACGUUGAAGUAAUUCCCCUUACUCUGAAAAGCCGAGAGAACCUCUGAUCAGUUCUUUAAGGUGCAGCCUCCAUGGGAAAGGGGCUUGAAGAGCAAAGGAAUCCAGCUGGAAUUCAUUGUCCUUACUUUAAACAAUUCAAACCUCCACUGUAGAAAGAUCCUGAACUAGAAAGUGAAUAGAGCUAGCAUUGGGGCAGAAACAAUAUUUUUUAAAGAAAAAUACUUUAAUUGCAAUUUCUUGGUGGUCUAAUUAUAGUUAAAUAUUUAGUGAAAUAAGUUUUAUUAUUUUAUUAUUACUAUUGAAUGUUUAGUUCUCAUGGUAGAUAGAAUUAAAUUAUUCUUUUUCUUAAACUCCUUUUUCCUAACAGUCAUUAUCACCAAGUGAGCUCACAAAUGGAGGACAAUCAACCAUUUAUUGGGGUGAACUGGCAACUGUCAGUGAGUCUAUUACUGAGGCAGAAUUACAGAGUUCUCAGGAAUGGCGGCAUGUGUUUUCCAUCCCAGUGAAAGGACUGUUUUGGGGAGUGGUGACACUAAAUGCCAUCUCACUAGAGAAUAAUCUCUUCUGGCAGGCAAUAAUCAAUGCCCUUUGACAAGCAGAAAGAACGAUGUUUAAGUGACUUCUGACUUGGAGAAUAAAGAUGCUUAUGACUAAUCUAUUUCCAGAGAAAAAGCAACAUGGAGACUUAAAGCAGACACUCUACAACUCCUCUGUGUGAUUUUCAGGUAGAAAGAGGGUUCUGUCAAGUCUACAAUUUCACAAGUCUGUGAAACUAUCAUAUAGGCAGAUUCAGGUGCAUUUAAAUAUAAGAAAGCACAGGGAGUUGUAAAGAAGGAGUUAGUCAGUCAAGAAAAGAAAGUUUGCAUUGCCCUUAUCCUAUGCCUUGAUGUAACAUUCAUUGCAUCUCACACUUCAGAGAGAGUUAUGUAACAGUUACCAUCAUUUCAGAGGUGCUCAGAAAGCCCUAAUAUACCAGAGAUUUCUUAGAAGGACCUCCCGUUCUUUCAUAUAUACAGAAAGAACCAACUUGCAGCACACUUUCUGCAUUAAAAUCCUGUUGAUUAAAUGUAUAGUCAUAAUUGCAGAUAGAUCAAAGUGCUAAUCAUCGUGGCUGACAGCACCAUUGAUGCAAAGCACCAAUAUUCUAUCCACUAUUCCCUUUGAAAAGUGUCCUGUCUGACUGUGAAACACAGACAUACUUUGCAUUCGCAAGUUUAAUGUGUUUGGAGGUUCAUAAAGCCGGGCUUCUAUCUAACCAUUUUUUCUUGGCAGAUGCCUAUCAAUCAGCAUCUUUUCAUUAAGCUGGCAGCCACUGUAAGAACCAUUUAAUCUCUGAGUAGUUCUGUCCUAGGGAAGUUGUACUUCAGUACAGGUUCUUUUAGAGGACCCUGUAGAAAAAGGUCCUUGUAAAAUAGCUCACAGCCCAAAGCUCUAAUUCUGUAAUGAUCUCUCUGUCCAAAGAUCUCUGAACCAGUGAAGAAUUUAUUAUGUUGGCAUCUCCCCAUAAGGAGGUUUCAGGAAAAUGGGAACCAUUGAUAUAUUAAGCAAUCUGGGAUGCAGAGCAACAGUCAGUGAAGGAAAAAAAUAGGAAUAUAUUUUUACACAUAAGGUGAAAAAAAGGAGACUAACUGCUCAUAGAUAUGUUCAUGUGAGUGAGACAGAGUCAAUGAUAAACUGGCAGGCAUACUGACAGAGUACUGUAUUUUUCACUUCAAUGAUUUCAUUUCUAAACAACUUUAAAAGGUAUAGCACUGAAUGAGGCAUCAGCAAAGCUCAGACCUUGUGGAAGACAGUGCCAUGAUCAGGCCCAUGGGCUUUGUCAUCUUGCAUUCUUGGUACAGGUAUUUCAUGACAAAAUUAGAAAGGUAUUUCCAGAGCAAGGAACAAGCCAGAUGAAAAUAAAACCAUGAAAUAUUACAAGAUUCAGAGAGAAGAUUGUUAUGUAUUCAUUAACAAUAUAAUUAUCAGGAUAAUGAAUGACUGUAUUUGGUCACAGGACUAUUUAGUAUAUGUGAACAUUGUUAUGUUUAAUAAUAGGCAAUAAAGAAGUACUAUAAUCACAAUUGUAAAAAAAAUUGUGUGAAACUAGUAUAUAUUAAAGAAAUAAUAUAUUUUAUUAGACCAACUGACAGAGCCUGAAAAAACACAGUCUCUUCUCUAGAUUGGAAGCAGAAACAGAAAAUUUUCAAAUUGAAUUAUAAGCAAGAAUAAGUGAUUUCUGUUGAAUUUUCCAUAUGAUAAUUGGUAUGACUCAAUUCUGAUAAGCACGUGUGGAGCAAAGCAGGCAGUUUGUAAGACAAUAGGUGCUAGGGUCAUUAGGUCCCAGUCUUGGAGAAGAGCAAGAAGUAUCACCUAAAUCAUGUGAAACAUUGAGGAAUUACCUCAGGAUUGGAAUAGAAGGGAGAAACUUUGUUUAUUACAUUGACAAAAGUAUUUCUGUAGGUCUAUGUAGGGUCUACGACUUCAAGUAUUUGGUAGAGUUAUGAGUUUUAGUUCCCAGGUUUAUCUUUUGAAAGUAUUUUAUUAGUCUCCUCUGAGUAUCAGGACUGAAUUGUCAAAGAUGAAGUAUCUGCUCUGUGAGCAAGUUUUUCCAAGUGGAAGUCAUAUAUUUAUGUCCUGCAUCGGCUGCAUGUGUGAAUUCACUUUAGUACACAGCAGUUGUGUUGUUUUAUCUAAGUAAUUUCGAGGAUGCCAUUUUGUGCACUAGAUAAAAUUCUGGAAUGCAAAUGUUUAGAGGUUUAUCGUGAUAGGGAACACUGUGAUCUAUGUUGGUAUGCAUCAUCAAAUAGGAUAAACAAAGACCAACAUACUUGCUUCUAGAAAACCAGCUCCCCCAAAAGCCAUGAUUUAGAGAUACUCCAUUGCAUUUGAUGUGAAAAGAACACUCACAAAACCCUCUUAAUCAGGCUAAAGAUGAAGUUCACCAAAAAAGGGUAUUCUUCUGAGGAAAUAAAUCACGCCUGAAUAUUGUUGUAGCUUACUACAGUACAAACUAAACAAAAAAUACAGCAACAGAACCCUCCGACACUUCUGCAUAAACCAAACAUUUUCCUAAGGAAAUUUCAAUGUAUUUGGGUUUUAAAAUUGAAAUGUACGCUAGACUUGACCUUGUCUUUUACUGCCAUCUGUAUAAUCAAAUCUUUAAAUAUGUACAACCUAUUUCGAAAGACAACCCACCCAGAAUCCUUUCUGCUUCUGUCACCCUCCUUACUUUCCUGCGCUUUCAAGUGCUCAUCCAAAGCUUGUCAAACUUCUUCUCAAAAGCAAGCUUUCCAUAUAUCAGCAUGAAUCACAUAAAAACAAAGAAACAAACAAAAACCGUCAAAAAAGCAAAAACCAAACCAAAUAAAACCAUAAAACAAAACAAAACAAACAAAUCAACAAAAACAACAACAACAAACUGUCAGCACAAUUCAACAAGCGCUGCAAUAAAUGUUUCACCAGACCCAGGUUAGGUUCCACUACUUGGAUAACCUUAACCCCAAGUUCUCCUUUUCCAUACUAUUCUCUUUCCAAAGAGUUUUGUUGACUCUCUUUUCAUAUACAUACAAUCAUUCUCAAAAAUCCUACCUUUGUCAGAAACAGUCUAGCAUCCUGCAUGUGUUCUUUGUACUUCUCAUGUUAGUGUCUUGCUCACAGCAUGAAAAAACAGGAUCAGAACAUUGUUGUGUGGAUCUGGCUACAGGCGUAGCAGAUCAGUGAGGUUAAGGUGAGAUGAAUUGGCUUUUAUAUUAUUUUGCUAUAAUGCAUAAAUAGUGAAUGAAAAAAAAUGUCUUGGGUAAUCUAACAUCCUUUUGAUCCAAUGUUUCAGUGAUCUUUUACUGUGUAUGGUUUAUCUUUAUCCUCCCACAAAACUUGGUAUCACAUAGCUCCUUUUGUGUGAACCCUUCUUAGUGUAACCAUUUUAACUGGAAUGCUGCUGAGCACAUUUUGCCUUGUAAUGAAACAAGGUGAAGAAAAUCCUAUUUUUGAGCUUCAAUUCAAUGAGAAGCACUUGAAGAAUUACAAAAAGCCUUCUUCUUGCAGCAUCAGUAUGAAGAGAAAAAUAUAACAGGUUUUUACUGGAAUUGCAAAUAAACCGAAUUCAGAUACAAUUUGGAAGACCAAAUUCAGGGAGGACAACUGCUCAAAACACAGAACAACAAGGAGGGACAUUGUCUUAGUUGUUAAUGCAAUACAGAGAAGACAUCGAACAGCUGCUUACUCAGAGGUAACUUUAUUAAACAACACAGACUAGAAUUUUCCAACAGUGUCCUAUGCAAGUCACCUUCCCCUUGUAGUAUCAUCACAGAAUCACAGAAUGUUUGGGGUUGGAAGGGACUUCUGGAGAUCAUCUAGUCCAACCCAUCUGCUAAAGCAGGUUCACCUAGAGUAGAUCGCGCAGGAAUGUGUCCAGGCAGGCGCUGAAUGUCUCCAGAGAAGGAGACUCCACAACCUCUCUGUGCAGCCUCAUCAGGGCUCUGGCACCCUCAAAGUAAAGAAGUUUUUUGUCAUAUUCAGAUGGAACCUCCUGUGCUUCAAUCUGUGCCCAUUGCCCCUCAUCGUAUCGCUGGGCAACACUGAAAGGAGUCUGGUCCCAUCCUUUUGACAUCCACCUUUGAGAUAUUUAUAACCAUUGAUAAGAUCUCCUCUCAGCCUUCUCUUCUCCAGGCUGAAUAGACCCAGCUCUCUCGAUCUCUCUUGAUAAGACAGGUGCUCUAGGCCUUCUUGCAUUCUAUGAUGUUCUACUCGAUAUCAAUACCUCAGUGCCUAAUAUCCUCCUAUAAAAGAGGAUGGAGAAAAAGGGGUUUUUUUAUUAUACUAUAUGAAAUAACCCACUUCCUGAAUAUUCACUUUUGCAAGUGCUUGCUUUUGCAGACUAUGAAUUUACAGCCUGCUGCCCUGCCUAGGCAGAGAUGUCUUCUAACCCAGGUUCAGGAGAAGGUAGUACACCUUGAAAUUUAGUAGUACAAUAAAUGCAAUGAAAGAAAGAGGAACAGGAGUGAAAUCUUGGAAAAGUUAAAGAUUUUCCUUGCCCUGUUAAUCCAUGCAAAUAUUCCCUUUUUGUGAAGGUGAUGCUAGUGAAAAUAUUCAGAAGCUUAAUGCUGUGAAGUUCAGUUUGGAUGCUGCUGCAAUUUGUAGUUAAGAAGCCAGUAGAAAUGUGAGCUUUCUGGACAGUCAGUGACAAUUUAUUGUUCCAGCAGCACAGUUUGUCUUCCCAUAGGCAUAAAAAUAAUAUAGUGAGUGUACUGCAAUGGUUGUGUUCUUACAUAAGCUCCUGUAGAAGAAGGUGUGAUUGAGAUAUCUCUAUAUUAAGGGUAGUAAUCAACCUCAGAGAGAGCUGGAAACUGUGUGCUCAAAGUGAUAAACUCCUCACUACCUUCUCCCUGACAUAAAAAGGCAAAAUGAUGUGUUUUGGAAAAGUGUUGACUCAAAAUAUUUCUUGUUUGUAAGUGGCUAAAUACAAUACCUGCCACAAAACUACCAAGUUGUAAUAUUUUCUGUGUUGCAAUGUUUUCCUUCUGCAGUUCUCUGUUUUGCUGGACUGGAAAUUCUACUCACAGCUUCAGUUUGCACUCUGGUUACAAAGAGCAGAACAUCCAUAAUAUUAAUUUAUUUUCCUCAUUCCAGUGGUUUUAGGAGCUUAGAUCAAGAGGGUUCUUUGACAUUUGCUUCCUCAUGUCUAUCAGAAUCCAUAAAUAAAUUCAAUGUGACUGAGACCGUCAUAAUUUCUGACUGUUCUGGUUUUUCAAUUAGAAAAAUCCAAUACAUAACAAGCUUUUAAUAAUUGAGAGAACAUUUAAUUUUUCAGUCAGUCCUGUUUAGACAAAUCAAAAUGCUGAUUUUUGGGAAGCAUGUUGCCAAGUAUCAUUUUGUUGCAGCUUGAUAGAAGACUGACUAAUACUGCAAAUGAGAUCAAGCAGAAUCUAUUAUUUAUUACAAUAAAUAUAGGAUAAUUAAUUGUAUUAUUUCUACUGAAAGGCAAUUCCAGAAUCUCAUCACUCUAGUGGCUAGGAAUACAUGUAUUUUAUUUUCAGUCUAGGUAUAUGUUUUUUGUGUAUCAUGUUCUUGCACCAAUAUUGCCUCUUAGCUCAGAUACCCAUUUCUCCUUCAGUCAUGAUAUAUCUAAACAAAGCAACAAAUUCUGUAUGGAUUUUCCUGUUCUCAGCCUUUGCUUUGAGGCUAAAGAAGCCACAGUCUUUUAGUCUUGUUUGUCUGAAAGGGUCUUCAUAUUUGUCCUCAUAGCCCUUAUCUUCUCCAUCUUUUAUGAACAUGAUAAUUUAUCAGAUCAGGCUUCCCACCACCUUGCAUUAAUUACACUCUCCCUUCCUUAUUUCUAUUAGAAAUUAGUCUCAGCAUAAAUGUGCAGUUAAAGCCUGAAAUUCAUCUUCUUUGAACUUUUCAAAAAAUUAAUCUUUGGUCAAUCACAUGUUCAAUGGUGGAAGAGUAAAUUGUUCUGAACUGGCAAAUAGAGUCAGUAGUUUUCUGUAGGAAAGGGGAAACUGCUGCGUUGUAACUAGCCAGGCUUUCCUAACUUGGGCCUGUCACUAGCUGGGGCCUCAUUAAAGAUUUUCAGCAUAAAUUCAUCUCUGCAUCCAUUUGUAUGUAAUUCUGGAUAUUGGCAUGUGAUAAAAUACGAAGCGAAUCCUGAGGACAGGAUUUGGAAAUCCUUGGGGGUUGUUUAAAACUUAGAUCUUUUGUUGGAGAGCAAUAUUACCAUGAGGUAAAGAAACCUGAAAAAAACAAUGUAUACUGGAAUACAUUUAGGUUUAUUCUGCUAAUAUAAUUACUCCAUAUUCCACAUGGAGAGGUUGAGGCUUGGCCUUUUUGUCCAUGAAGAUUAUGCAGUUCAAAGGAUUUGGGUUUGUAUGUUAAUUUUCCCAUUAUAAGUUUGAUUUGACUAUGUCAUCAGACUUUGAUUUCUGUAUCAUUUUGGCCUUCUAAAUCGCAAAAAUUCAUCAGAACUGAAGUAAUAUAAAAUAAAAAUGGAGAGCAAUAACUAUCCAUAUGACAUAUGAAUAUGUGUUCCUAAUAGAACUAUAAGUUUUAUCUGUUGGAUUUUUAAAUGAAAAUUAAUUUUUAGAUGAGAACUAAUUGAAAAAAUUGUUUAUUUCUUCCCAUUCUUGAUGUAGAAGUGAUGGCCCCAUAAUGGUAGAUUAUGAUACAUUUUAAAUAGGUUUUGAAAUUUCUGUUGAUAUACACAUUCUUCCCUCCUUCACAAUCUGUUCUCUCUUUUGACUUUUAUCUGUUAAAAAGGUCAACUAAGUAAUUUAGUCUACAAGCUGAGGCAAUAAAUGGUACCAUUAGAGGUAGCUAAAUUUGUAUGAGACCAGUUUAUCUGUAUGUCUACUGUAUGUUUUAUGCAAUGACCUUUCCACACAAGUAAUUUUUAAACUAUAUUGUCAAAAAUGAAAAUUGGAUCCCACAGUAUCAUUUUCAUUUGCACAUCUGGUAUCACUGCUCACAUGCACAUGAUGCUGGUGGAUUUUUUUUUUUUUUUGUCUGCUUUACAAUACCUGUAUUUUUUGUUUCAGGCUUGAAGUAUAUCUAUCACAUUCAUCAGACCAAACUAUGGUGAUGCAGGUAGUUUAUAUCCGGCCAGAUGAUUGUGGAAAGUGUGGCAUUGAUAAAACUUCUAUGAAAAACAAGUGUCAACAUAGGAUUUGAGAGCUGACCAGAUCCAUAGUUGUGGACGAAGUCCAAACAUAGCCAACAAAAAUAAAAAAUUAAAAAGAAAACAACAACAACAACAAAUUAAGAUUAGACACUGUAGAUCCAGUAAUACUGGAAAUGUUACAGAAUGUUUGUAAUAGAAGAAGUUUUUAUGUCAAAGAUGCAAGACAGCAGUGACACUGACAAAAGAAAAACUUUUAGAAAGUCAGUGAGAGAUUCCAAGUGGAUCAAUAACAAAUGAGGAAGAAAGUGUCAUCUGUCAGGAGAAAAACAAGUACUUGAAAGGACAAGGGUCUCACAAAGUGCUGAUUAAAUGUAAAACGCUACGUGAGGAUGCACAAAUGUGAAAUGCUUAAACGAAGAAGAUGAACAACAGGUCCUCCACCACAUCAAGAAAACAGAUUAAUCUUGCAGAGGUACUUUAUCAUUAACGUUAUUAGCAUUUCUAUAACAAAAAAUUAAGAAGAAAAAGUAGGUGUGGAAUACUGUGAAAGAGAUGAGCCAGACUGCAAAUGUUCUAAAAGACUAAAAGCUCUGAAUUACUUGCAUUCACCAAAAAUAAUCUCUCUCACUUACUAAGAAGUCACAGCAAAACUAGCUCUGUCUGUGAAACUGCUAAGUAAAAGGUUCAGAGAUAAACCUCAUCCAUCACAAACUGAAGGUCAAAUUCGAAGGAGUCCUUCAUAUUAUACCUACUGACUAAGGGAAAUUUAUUGCAUAUCCAGGAUAAAUUUGAAAUAGAUUACCUGCUGCUACAAAAAAAAAAAAAAAAAAAAAAAAAAAAUGAAAGCAGCCAAACCAAAAAUAAAUAAAUAUCCACACAGUUUUGAAAAGAGAUGAAAGAGAUGAUUUACAGAUAGGAGAUGACAUUAAAGUAAAAAGUUCUGGUAUUCUCUACCUUGGGUUCUGAAUCUGUGCUCAAUAAAUUUUCAUGCCAAAGGAUUAAUUAAAUUCAUCGCUAGGACUGAAAAUAUUAUUUUCUCAGGACUUUUUUUCUACAGUCAUUUGUGGAAAACUCAUCCAUGAAAGCAUCUAAUGUUUGUUCAGAAGUUAAAAACCAUCAAUGUGAAGUUUGUUUGAAUACUAAAAAAGAUUACUACCUAAAAGAGGACUGCCUAAAACUAAACCAUAUGACUAAGAGCAUCAUCCAGAUGCUCCUUGAACUCUGACAGGCUUGGUGCUGUGACCACUUCUCCAAGGAGCCUGUUCCAAUGACCAGCCACCCUCUCAGUGAAGAAACUUUUCUUAAUGUCCAAUCUGAACUUCCCCUGAUGCAGCUUCAUUCCAUUUCCUUCUGUCCUACUGCUGGUCACCAGAGAGAGGAGAUCAGCACCCCUUCCUCUGCUGCCCCUCUUGAGGAAGUUGUAGGCUGCAAUGAGGUCACCCUUCAGCCUCCUCCAGGCUGAACAAACCAAGUGACCUCAGCCACUCCUCUUAAGUCUUGCUCUCAGGACCUUUCACCAUCUUGGUUGCCCUCCUCUGGACACACUCUAAUAGUUUGUUGUCCUUCUUGUACUAAGGCACCCAAAGGUGCACACACUACUUGAGCUGGGGCCUCACCAAUGCAGUGUAGAGUGGGAAGGAAGGUGAGGAAGAUGCCACCAUAACUAUGGUUCAUAGAUCAAAGAAAAAGAAUAUGUCACAGAUCCUUCCCUGCUUCCAUAAAAAAUAAUCCAGCCUGGAUUACCUUUUACCUUCUGAUCUAUCAUGUUGUCUUAGUCAGAUGAGGUAGAGAUGAGCCCAGCAUCCGAGCACGACAGGUGCCUUUUGUCUCGCUUUACUACGAACCAAAGCCUUGUUGAAGCUACCCAGUACAAUUUGGAUAUUUGACAUUGACAAUGAUGAGAAGAAUAGCAUAAGAGCUCUAGAAUAUGUCUCUACACAUUAUUCUCAGAAUGAAUAGCUUGUGCAACAUCUGCAAUUUUAUGUCUGAGAUGUCACUUUUUGAAAACUAUGCUAAGAAUCUAGUUCAAAGAUCUGUUCAAGGGUUGUAGGUAGAGGUAACAAUAUUGUAGUUAGGCUUCAUAAAGUCACACAUGAGGCACACCUCUUGAUGAGUAUGGAAAUAAUUUCUUCCUUGGUUACAAGAUGAUUGUUGAUGUGUUCCACUUAGAAGAGACACUUAAAUUCAUCAGUAAUGAUGACAUCUGCCAAAUACAUGUCAAUGUUGUAAUUUAAUUUUUUUUAUUUUCAUGAGUCAUGUGCACUGCUGUGAUUUUUUUUUAUCACAAACUGCUGAGAAGAGAAAACAUUCUGGUUUUCUUACCUUGGUAUCAGACUGGGAUUAGAAUAGCCUUCAGAGAACAAUACUGGUUGCCACAUUGUAGCCGCUUAUUCUCUUGACUUUUGUAUAUGAUAAACUCAGCAUGAUACUGCUCAUACAGUGAUAAUCUAAUAAUAAUCUAAUAAUUUCUUAUACCUGCUUUUCUAUUUACUAAAUAUAGGUGUGUCUCAGUUUAGCUGGGAUGUCGAAGCUCUUUGUGUGAGUCUCAGUGUUUCUACUGAAACACAGGUAAUUCAGGAGACAGUAAAUAUUGAUACUCAGAUUCUAGGAGGCAUAAGGAUAUUCAUUUUCCAACAUGUCUCUAACUCCUCUUAUUUAUUCCCCAUGGUAGGUGCAUUUGCAUAGAGGCAUUUAAGUUGGGCUCUGGAUGAAGCUGACAUACAGGCUCAAGUGGCUAGAAUUCCUUUGUGCUGCUCUUCAGGUGCUCUGCUGCUGACCUGUGAUCCUUCUGCAGGCCCUGGACCUGAUUGCUGAUACUGAUGUCAAACUGAAUCACAGAAUGGUUGAGCUUGGAGGGGACCUCUGCAGAUCCCCAAGUUCAGACUUCCUGCUCAAGCAGGGCCACCUAAAAUCAGUUGCCCAGGACAAUGUCCAGAUGGCUUUUGAGUAUCUCCAAGGAUGGAGUCUCCACAACCUCUCUGGACAACCUGUGUCAGAGCUCCGUUAUCCUCACAGUAAAAAUGUGUACCUGAUGUUCCUGAGGGAACCUCCUCUGUGUUUGUCUCUGCCCAUUGUUUCUGGUCCUAUCAGUGGACACCACUGAAAAGAGCCUGGUUGUAUUUUCUUUGCACCCUUCCUCCAGAUGUUUAUAUAUGUUGAUGAGAUCUCCCUGAGCUUUCUGUGCUCCAGGCUAAACAUUUCCAGCUCUCUCAGCCUUUUCUCACAGGAGAGAUGUUCCAGUCUCUUCAUCAUUUUGCUAGCCCUUCACUGGACUCAAUCCAGUAAGAUCCCAGAACUGGACACAUAGUAUUCCGGGUGUGGUCUCACCAGUCCUGACUAGAGGGAAAAUAUUAUAUAAAUAAAGAAAUAAAAUCAUUUUAUGGUGAACUUCACAGGAAAAAAAAUGAGCUGAUUACACAAAAUGGAUAUAAUUAUGUAUAUCCAUGAAUAUGCAUUCUAUUCUGAUGAUAUUUUUUUCUUCUGCCAUUUCAGCACUAUGCCAUCGUUGGAGACUGUCACCUUAUAUUUGGUUAUAUCUUAUUAUACUUGAACCUAAAGGAAUGUGCUUGUUUCUUUGAAUCUUUCAGAUAUGACCUUAUAGCACCAUAAACUUCCACCUGGAAGAUGCAGCAAUAGCGAAGACACCCACUGAUUUCAUUAAAUCAUCGUUUCUUUUCCCUAUGUAAGGACAAAACGGUGACUAGAAAUGUUCACUUUUAUUAAAAGAUGGUGGUUUUUUUCUGCCCUUAUUAUUACUGUUAUUACCGGGAGAGUAAUUAAACAGGGCCUUCAAUACAGUGGUCGAUCUUGGCUUGUAUUUUUUUAUACUUUACCAAAUCCUGUUGAUGUUUAUGAUGUUAAUUCAACUCUUUUCUGCUCUUUUCUUAUUUUAAUUUCAAAGUUUAUACUUUUAAGAUACUUCCAUCAAUAACAACAUAUGUUUGUCAUAUAUCAGAGCUCUGUAGCUAUUUUUAUUUUUAAUAAAAUAUUUCCAUCAAUGGGUC